GUAGGUGGCAAGCGUUGUCCGGAAUUAUUGGGCGUAAAGCGCGCGCAGGCGGUUCUUUAAGUCUGAUGUGAAAGCCCACGGCUCAACCGUGGAGGGUCAUUGGAAACUGGAGAACUUGAGUACAGAAGAGGAAAGCGGGAUUCCACGUGUAGCGGUGAAAUGCGUAGAGAUGUGGAGGAACACCAGUGGCGAAGGCGGCUUUCUGGUCUGUAACUGACGCUGAGGCGCGAAAGCGUGGGGGAGCAAACAGGAUUAGAUACCCUGGUAGUCCACGCCGUAAACGAUGAGUGCUAAGUGUUAGGGGGUUUCCGCCCCUUAGUGCUGCAGCUAACGCAUUAAGCACUCCGCCUGGGAGUACGGCCGCAAGGCUG
rnacentral:rRNA from 1 species